rnacentral:rRNA from 1 species
UACGUAGGCAGCAAGCGUUGUUCGGAGUUACUGGGCGUAAAGGGUGUGUAGGCGGUUCUUUAAGUUUGGUGUGAAAUCUCCCGGCUUAACUGGGAGGGUGCGCCGAAUACUGAGGACUAGAGUACGGGAGAGGAAAGUGGAAUUCCAGGUGUAGCGGUGAAAUGCGCAGAUAUCAGGAAGAACACCCGUGGCGAAGGCGGCUCUCUGGGACGGUACUGAGCUGAGA